rnacentral:RNase_P_RNA from 4 species
GAAGCGCGCCAGGCCGUCGCUGGCACAGCCCGCAAGGGAACCCGAAAGGGAGUGCUGGAGGAACGUCCGGACUGCACAGGACAGCGUAGGAGGUAACACCUCUCCACCGACAAGCCAGAAGGGUUCGCCUGGAUGGCCCUAAGGUGAGGAUCAGAGCAACAGAGACGAGUCACCUGUGGUGCCGCAGCGUAGGCGAAAGCCGAAGCUACGAGCAACCAAGGUGGGUGAAACGGGCAAUCUCUACGCGCAGCAAUACCAAAUAGGCCAGCGUUGACGUGGUUCCGCGGAGCUGGCGGGUAGGUAGCACCGAGCCGAUUGGGCGACCAUCGGCCCAGAUGAAUGGCGGUCACACCGGGGGAAACCCCGGUGCACAGAAUCCGGCGUAACGGCGCGCUUCACAC